rnacentral:rRNA from 2 species
UCCCUUAGUAACGGCGAGCGAAGUGGGAAGAAGCCCAGGUCUGAAAUCUCCCGGUUGGCAUUUGCUGUGGCCGGGCGAAUUGUGGUCUGGAGAGGCGGACUGUCCUGAUCCACUGCUUGCAAGCCCGAAGUUGACUUGGAACGGCACGCCGAAGAGGGUGAGAGCCCCGUAGGGCCUAGAAAUUGCUGGCAGCAGGACGAGGGUCCGUACUCGUAGAGUCGGGUUGUUUGGGAAUGCAGCCCCAAGUGGGUGGUAGACUCCAUCCAAGGCUAAAUACGGGCGCGAGACCGAUAGCUGACAAGUACCGUGAGGGAAAGGUGAAAAGCACUUUGAAGAGAGAGUUCAAUAGACCGUGAAACCGUUGGGAGGGAAGCUCAGGGUGUCGAGGUUGUCGUGCUCUGUCGGAGUUCAGCCCGCGGUGGACUGUCCUGCCCGCCGUUGGUGCACUCGCCGUCAGAGUUGGACCGUCAGUCGGGAAGAGACCUUUGGGGCCUGUUUGUCGGCGGUUUGGGAGGUACGCCUCGUGGUUUCCUUUCGGGGGAGCUCGAGGUGACGUACAGCCGGCCGUCGUGGUCUCGGUUUUCUUUCAGGUGCGUUUGGAUGUCUGUUCGUCCGGAAUGGGAAGGCGCAGUCUCCCCUUGUGGGAGGUCGAGCCGGUCCUGCGGUUGUGCUGCUCGGUGGGACUCGUGCUCCGUUUCCUCUCCGUUGCCCUCGCGGUGCGGAGCAGGGUGCGGCGCGACUCGCCGUUGUCGGUGUCCCUCGGGGCCUGCGUUCCAAGUUUCUGCGUCUAGGUGACUGGCGAAGAGUCGUUACCCUGUGCCCCGUCUUGAAACACGGACCAAGGAGUGCAAGAGAUGCGCAAGUCGGAAGGGUUGUGUUGGGGUCUUUCCCUCGGGAAUGGCCUUGCCUGAGAGACCCAUGUGUUUGGAACGGGCGAAGUGAGAGCAAUUUCUUGGGUGCGAGAGCCUUGGGGAUGACCCGGGGCGCAUCGCUGGCCGAGCCUAAUGGUCACGCUGUGGCCGGUUUCGAGUGCGAGCGUAUCUGUUGCGACCCGAAAGAUGGUGAACUAUGCCUGAGGAGGGUGAAGCCAGAGGAAACUCUGGUGGAGGCCCGUAGCGGUUCUGACGUGCAAAUCGAUCGUCGCACUUGGGUAUAGGGGCGAAAGA